GAUGAACGCUGGCGGCGUGCUUAACACAUGCAAGUCGAACGAAGCGCUUUACCGGAUUUCUUCGGAAUGAAAGUUUUGUGACUGAGUGGCGGACGGGUGAGUAACGCGUGGGUAACCUGCCUCAUACAGGGGGAUAACAGUUAGAAAUGACUGCUAAUACCGCAUAAGACCACAGGACCGCAUGGUCCAGUGGUAAAAACUCCGGUGGUAUGAGAUGGACCCGCGUCUGAUUAGCUAGUUGGUAAGGUAACGGCUUACCAAGGCGACGAUCAGUAGCCGACCUGAGAGGGUGACCGGCCACAUUGGGACUGAGACACGGCCCAAACUCCUACGGGAGGCAGCAGUGGGGAAUAUUGCACAAUGGGGGAAACCCUGAUGCAGCGACGCCGCGUGAGCGAUGAAGUAUUUCGGUAUGUAAAGCUCUAUCAGCAGGGAAGAAUUAGGACGGUACCUGACUAAGAAGCACCGGCUAAAUACGUGCCAGCAGCCGCGGUAAUACGUAUGGUGCAAGCGUUAUCCGGAUUUACUGGGUGUAAAGGGAGCGUAGACGGAGAGGCAAGUCUGAUGUGAAAACCCGGGGCUCAACCCCGGGACUGCAUUGGAAACUGUUUUUCUAGAGUGUCGGAGAGGUAAGUGGAAUUCCUAGUGUAGCGGUGAAAUGCGUAGAUAUUAGGAGGAACACCAGUGGCGAAGGCGGCUUACUGGAC
rnacentral:rRNA from 1 species